rnacentral:rRNA from 1 species
ACCGGGGCGGACAGCAUAUGAAGGUCAGGCUGAAGACCUUACCCGAUUAGCUGAGAGGUGGUGCAUGGCCGUCGUCAGUUCGUACUGUGAAGCAUCCUGUUAAGUCAGGCAACGAGCGAGACCCACGUCCACAGUUGCCAGCAUACCCUCCGGGGUGAUGGGUACACUGUGGAGACCGCCGCUGCUAAAGCGGAGGAAGGAGUGGGCAACGGUAGGUCAGUAUGCCCCGAAUCUCCCGGGCUACACGCGGGCUACAAUGGUUGGUACAAUGGGCAUCUACCCCGAAAGGGGAAGGAAAUCUCUUAAAGCCAAUCGUAGUUCGGAUUGAGGGCUGCAACUCGCCCUCAUGAAGCUGGAAUCCGUAGUAAUCGCGUUUCAACAGAACGCGGUGAAUACGUCCCUGCUCCUU